AGUGGCGGACGGGUGGAGGUAAUGCAUGAGCAACCUGCCCUGGAGAGGGGGACGAACAGCUGGAAACGGCUGCUAAUACCGCAUGAUGUCGUCGGGGGGCGAUCCUCUGACGACCAAAGAUUUAUCGCUCUGGGAUGGGCUCAUGUCUGAUUAGAUAGUUGGCGGGGCAACGGCCCACCAAGUCUGCGAUCAGUAGCCGGACUGAGAGGUUGAACGGCCACAUUGGGACUGAGAUACGGCCCAGACUCCUACGGGAGGCAGCAGUGGGGAAUAUUGGGCAAUGGGCGCAAGCCUGACCCAGCAACGCCGCGUGAAGGAAGAAGGCUUUCGGGUUGUAAACUUCUUUUAUCAGGGACGAAGAAAGUGACGGUACCUGAUGAAUAAGCCACGGCUAACUACGUGCCAGCAGCGGC
rnacentral:rRNA from 1 species